GUUACUCAAAUUUGUAUGCAGUUAGAACAGCACCCCUAGCAGCAAACGUAGGCAAACGUUCCAACUCCAUAUAAAUUUGAGUCA
rnacentral:pre_miRNA from 1 species